AUGUUUGGUAGCAUCAUGUGACCUUCUCUCAAGUGACUCAAGUACUUUGGAAUAGGAAGAAGUUCAACACUGUGAGCGCAAGAUGUAUAUCGUCCCAAGUGGCAUAAACAACUUAAUCCUCUGCGUAAAAAGGUACACUGCUUCAAAUGCUUUUCCAUUGCAUCCCCCUUCAAAACCACGGAACACCCGUUAGCUCUGUAAACACAUUUGAGCGUUGAGUUGAGGAUAAUCGACUCCACAGGAAAAUUACGUCCCUCGGAGAAAUUUGCCUUGCAAAGUGGGCAAUUGACCAAUUUUGAUUUACAAUUGAAACAAAUUAUGUGACCCCUGUCGCAGUGAUGGAUUGGAGGAAAGGGAACUUCCUUGCAGAUUGGACAUUCUAAGAUUGCAAGAAGCUCAGAUGCCUCGGCCAGUUCGUGAAUUUCGGAAAAUCUGCGAGUAUUAAGAAAACUGUGGUAAAACUUAAGCUUUAAAAUCUUAUUCAAAAUCUUGAAAAUGUUAUUGUCAAAAUAUUUGCAAUACCUGGACUCAGAUCCUUUGGAAGAUGUGGUCAGCAUUUAUAAUAUUUAUACUAUAAAUUUUAUAACUCAAAUUCAAAUAAUGUGAGUCAACCUCAACCUCUACUGAAUUACCCACGGUUAGAAAUAAUGCGAAUGUCGAUACAUGACGCUGACGCAUAAAAUGAGAAUGGACAGAUAAUCAUAUUUGACAAAUUGGUGAUAAGAUAGUACUGUCAGUCAAAUGUGAUACACAUUGCAUUGUGUGAAUAUGUGUGUGCAUUACUGCAGUAUUAAGUAGACCAUGAAAGUAUAAAUAAAGUUCGAUCUGAUCUAAUUAAUUGCACCACUAAA